rnacentral:rRNA from 1 species
GACGAACGCUGGCGGCGUGCUUAACACAUGCAAGUCGAACGCUGAAGCCCAGCUUGCUGGGUGGAUGAGUGGCGAACGGGUGAGUAACACGUGAGUAACCUGCCCCCUUCUUUGGGAUAACGCCCGGAAACGGGUGCUAAUACUGGAUAUUCACUGGCCUUCGCAUGGGGGUUGGUGGAAAGGUUUUUUCUGGUGGGGGAUGGGCUCGCGGCCUAUCAGCUUGUUGGUGGGGUGAUGGCCUACCAAGGCUUUGACGGGUAGCCGGCCUGAGAGGGUGACCGGUCACAUUGGGACUGAGAUACGGCCCAGACUCCUACGGGAGGCAGCAGUGGGGAAUAUUGCACAAUGGGCGAAAGCCUGAUGCAGCGACGCCGCGUGAGGGAUGACGGCCUUCGGGUUGUAAACCUCUUUCGCUCAUGGUCAAGCCGCAGCUUUGGGUUGUGGUGAGGGUAGUGGGUAAAGAAGCGCCGGCUAACUACGUGCCAGCAGCCGCGGUAAUACGUAGGGCGCGAGCGUUGUCCGGAAUUAUUGGGCGUAAAGGGCUUGUAGGCGGUUGGUCGCGUCUGCCGUGAAAUCCUCCGGCUUAACUGGGGGCGUGCGGUGGGUACGGGCUGACUUGAGUGCGGUAGGGGAGACUGGAACUCCUGGUGUAGCGGUGGAAUGCGCAGAUAUCACGAAGAACACCGGUGGCGAAGGCGGGUCUCUGGGCCGUUACUGACGCUGAGGAGCGAAAGCGUGGGGAGCGAACAGG